rnacentral:misc_RNA from 1 species
AACGGUCUAUACCUGCGGUACCUGCGGAAGGAUCAUUACCGAGUUUUCAACUCCCUAACCCUUCUGUGAACCUACCUAUCGUUGCUUCGGCGGACUCGCCCCAGCCCGGACGCGGACUGGACCAGCGGCCCGCCGGGGACCUCAAACUCUUGUAUUCCAGCAUCUUCUGAAUACGCCGCAAGGCAAAACAAAUGAAUCAAAACUUUCAGCAAUGGAUCUCU